CCUCAGGCUGAGAUGUUGAUGAUAUUAC
rnacentral:piRNA from 1 species